rnacentral:tRNA from 1 species
GCCUCUGUGGCUUAGCGGUAGAGCAACAUUUAAUAUCAUUUUGACAUAAAUGUUAAAGAUUCGUAAUCUGUAGGUCGGGGGUUCAAUUCCCCCCAGAGGCU